rnacentral:rRNA from 1 species
UACGAGGGGGGCAAGCGUUGUUCGGAAUUAUUGGGCGUAAAGGGUGCGUAGGCGGUCUGACAAGUCUGAUGUGAAAUCUAUGGGCUCAACCCAUAGCCUGCAUCGGAAACUGUCGGGCUUGAGUAUGGGAGAGGUGAGUGGAAUUUCCGGUGUAGCGGUGAAAUGCGUAGAGAUGUGGAGGAACACCCGAUGGCGAAGGCAGCCCCCUGGGUCAAGAUUGACGCUC